rnacentral:rRNA from 1 species
AGCAGCAGCCACGGUAAUACAGAGGGUGCAAGCGUUAAUCGGAAUUACUGGGCGUAAAGGGCGCGUAGGCGGUUUGACAAGUCUGAUGUGAAAUCUCUGGGCCCAACCCAGAGUCUGCAUCGGAAACUGUCGAGCUUGAGUAUGGGAGAGGUGAGUGGAAUUUCCGGUGUAGCGGUGAAAUGCGUAGAGAUGUGGAGGAAUACCGAUGGCGAAGGCAGCCCCCUGGGCCAAUACCGACGCUCAUGCACGAAAGCGUGGGGAGCAAACAGGAUUAGAUACCCCGGUAGUCCCUGUCUCUUAUAC